rnacentral:rRNA from 1 species
AUUGAACGCUGGCGGCAGGCCUAACACAUGCAAGUCGAGCGGAAACGAGUUAUYUGAACCUUCGGGGAACGAUAACGGCGUCGAGCGGCGGACGGGUGAGUAAUGCCUAGGAAAUUGCCCUGAUGUGGGGGAUAACCAUUGGAAACGAUGGCUAAUACCGCAUGAUGCCUACGGGCCAAAGAGGGGGACCUUCGGGCCUCUCGCGUCAGGAUAUGCCUAGGUGGGAUUAGCUAGUUGGUGAGGUAAGGGCUCACCAAGGCRACGAUCCCUAGCUGGUCUGAGAGGAUGAUCAGCCACACUGGAACUGAGACACGGUCCAGACUCCUACGGGAGGCAGCAGUGGGGAAUAUUGCACAAUGGGCGCAAGCCUGAUGCAGCCAUGCCGCGUGURUGAAGAAGGCCUUCGGGUUGUAAAGCACUUUCAGUCGUGAGGAA